rnacentral:rRNA from 1 species
CCAUCAGGUUAAGCUGGGGACGUCUAAAGGAACUGCCUACGCAAGUAGUGAGGAAGGCGGGGAUGACGUCAAAUCAGCACGGCCCUUACGUCCAGGGCUACACACGUGCUACAAUGGCCGAUACAGAGGCAGCUACCUGGUGACAGGAUGCAAAUCUCCAAAGUCGGUCUCAGUUCGGAUCGGAGUCUGCAACCCGACUCCGUGAAGUUGGAUUCGCUAGUAAUCGCGCAUCAGCCAUGGCGCGGUGAAUACGUUCCCGGGCCUU